GGACCCGCACAAGUAGUGGAGCAUGUGGUUUAAUUCGAAGAUACGCGCAGAACCUUACCAACACUUGACAUGUUCGUCGCGACUUUAAGAGAUUAAAGUUUUCGGUUCGGCCGGACGAAACACAGGUGCUGCAUGGCUGUCGUCAGCUCGUGUCGUGAGAUGUUGGUUAAGUCCCGCAACGAGCGCAACCCUCACUUUUAGUUGCCAUCAUUUAGUUGGGCACUCUGAAAGAACUGCCAGUGAUAAGCUGGAGGAAGGUGGGGAUGACGUCAAGUCCUCAUGGCCCUUACGUGUUGGGCUACACACGUGCUACAAUGGUAUCUACAACAGGAAGCAAAACGGCAACGAUUAAGCAAA
rnacentral:rRNA from 1 species